AUAUCAAUAAGCGGAGGAAAAGAAACCAACAGGGAUUGCCCCAGUAACGGCGAGUGAAGCGGCAACAGCUCAAAUUUGAAAUCUGGCCCCUCCGGGGUCCGAGUUGUAAUUUGCAGAGGAAGUUUCGGCGUUGGCCCCGGGUUAAGUCCCCUGGAACGGGGCGCCCUAGAGGGUGAGAGCCCCGUACUCACCCGGGUGCACUUCGCCGUGUGAAGCUCCUUCGACGAGUCGAGUUGUUUGGGAAUGCAGCUCUAAGCGGGAGGUAUAUUUCUUCUAAAGCUAAAUACCGGCCAGAGACCGACAGCGCACAAGUAGAGUGAUCGAAAGAUGAAAAGCACUUUGGAAAGAGAGUUAAAAAGCACGUGAAAUUGUUGAAAGGGAAGCUCUUGCCGCCAGACUUGCCGCGGUUGCUCAGCCGGCCUCCGGGGCGGUGUACUCUUCCGUCGGCAGGCCAGCGUCGGUUCGGGCGGUCGGAUAAAGGCCUCGGGAAUGUAGCACCCCUCGGGGUGUGUUAUAGCCCGGGGCGCAAUGCGGCCAGCCCGGUCCGAGGCACGCGUUCGCGAGGACGCUGGCGUAAUGGCCGCAAGCGACCCGUCUUGAAACACGGACCAAGGAGUCUAACAUCUGUGCGAGUGUUUGGGUCUCACACCCAUGCGCGCAAUGAAAGUGAACGGAGGUGGGAACCCCCCUGGAGGGGCGCACCAUCGACCGAUCCUGAUGUCUUCGGAUGGAUUUGAGUAAGAGCAUAGCUGUUGGGACCCGAAAGAUGGUGAACUAUUCCCGGAUAGGGUGAAGCCAGAGGAAACUCUGGUGGAGGCUCGCAGCGGUUCUGACGUGCAAAUCGAUCGUCAAAUCUAGGAAUAGGGGCGAAAGACUAAUCGAACCAU
rnacentral:rRNA from 1 species